AGGUUCCCUCGAGUGCCACCGCGGAGCUAGAAUCGGGAGUCCCAGUGACUCUCACGCGCUCUGAGCGAAGGUCCCUGGAUCUCGGGCAGAAAGUGCCGCAGCGUAAUUAUCGCGCUGUUAGCCUCCGCCGUCGGCUCAUCGAAGAGAGGAAGCUUCGGCUGAUCUUUCGAGCCGGGCGCGAGUGUAUUGGUCAAAGUAAAGUAAUGUGCUUGCACGUCGCUUUGCGGCGAACUUAACAGGGCCUACUCCGAGGAAACU
rnacentral:RNase_MRP_RNA from 2 species